rnacentral:siRNA from 1 species
UUUGAAAACAUAAAAGUUAAUGU